CCUACGGGGGGCAGCAGUGGGGAAUCUUCCGCAAUGGACGAAAGUCUGACGGAGCAACGCCGCGUGAGUGAAGAAGGUUUUCGGAUCGUAAAGCUCUGUCUUUGAGGACGAAUGUGCUUAAUGUGAAUAAUGUUAAGUAAUGACGGUACUCGAGGAGGAAGCCACGGCUAACUACGUGCCAGCAGCCGCGGUAAUACGUAGGUGGCAAGCGUUGUCCGGAAUUAUUGGGCGUAAAGCGCGCGCAGGCGGGAUAUUAAGUCUGUCUUAAAAGUUCGGGGCUCAACCCCGUGAUGGGAUGGAAACUAAUAUUCUUGAGUGCAGGAGAGGAAAGUGGAAUUCCCAGUGUAGCGGUGAAAUGCGUAGAUAUUAGGAGGAACACCAGUGGCGAAGGCGACUUUCUGGACUGUGUCUGACGCUGAGGCGCGAAAGCCAGGGGAGUGAACGGGAUUAGAUACCCUUGUAGUC
rnacentral:rRNA from 1 species